CACACCGCCCGUCACACCAUGGGAGUUUGUUGCACCAGAAGCAGGUAGCUUAACCUUCGGGAGGGCGCUUGCCACGGUGUGGCCGAUGACUGGGGUGUA
rnacentral:rRNA from 1 species